rnacentral:rRNA from 1 species
UACGUAGGGCGCAAGCGUUUGUCCGGAAUUAUUGGGCGUAAAGAGCUCGUAGGCGGUUUGUCGCGUCUGCUGUGAAAACGCGAGGCUCAACCUCGCGCCUGCAGUGGGUACGGGCAGACUAGAGUGCGGUAGGGGAGAUUGGAAUUCCUGGUGUAGCGGUGGAAUGCGUAGAUAUCGGGAGGAACACCAGUGGCGAAGGCGACUACCUGGCCUGUUCUUGACGCUGAGGCGCGAAAGCUAGGGGAGCAAACGGG